rnacentral:misc_RNA from 1 species
AAAAAUAUGUCUUAAUUAAGUAACGUCUUUUACAACUGGUUAAAUAUGACUAUCCAUUUAAGUACUUUGAUCGAAACGAUCCAAGAAAUCUAUAAAAAAAAAUGUAUAAGAACAUUAAAGAAAAACAGGAAAGAGGAUGGGAAUGAAGUCGGAUAGGGGGGAGGGUUAGAAUAGGAGAAGAUUAAAGCCUUAGAAAUAAGGGUGUUCGUGAUAUAGAUGAACGAACGUACCAAGAUCAUCCGUAUUGUGAACGUAAUAAGUGUAACAGGGUCAAACAGUUAUGGCUUCUUCCAGUAUUUUUUUUUCUCCGACAUCAGGGUUACAUAAAACAAUAAGAAAUUCGAAUUGAAAAAUGAUCUAUUUUCUUCGCAAUUAUACCAGUCAAAUCUAAUAAAUCGAUUAAAUUGGAUUCAAUUAAUACAAGCAAUGUUGUCCAUCCAAUAAUCGUUCGAAUAACAUUUAACGAAUAAAAUAUGGUUUGAUCGAACGACGCAUGUUUGUCAAAGUAGCGAACGGUAGGUAUAUUCAUUCUGACGCACAUUUCGACAAAAACAAAGGUGUGUCGUCAUAAUCCUUCGAGACACAUCUCGAAAAGAAUAUUUUCUUUUUAUCGAUCUUCAAACUUAAACAAAAAAUCUCGUAAGUUGUUACGAAAAAUAAUUUUUUUUUCAUUUUGCCCAAUAUUCAUUAAUUUUUACCAGAGUCAGAGAUUGUCGAGAUUAAAGGACAUUUGCCAAAUCAAAUUCACGUUAUGUAAUCUAAAUUUAAAAAGGAUUUACCUAUGUGAAACGAAUGAUCUUAAAAAAAAAAGAGAACAAGUCGAGUGAAAUGGUAAAGACACGAAAACAAAAUCGAUUUUUUCCUUAUUUUUUCUAAUAAAUUAUAUCGAAAAGAAUUUGACGAGAAUAAACAAAAAUAUAAAAUAAAAUUUCAUUUGUGAAUACUCACACAAACUUGAGUAUGAAGUACGAGUGAUCGAUCGAUUAUUAUCUAUCGACGUUUGCCAACACGUUCAAAAAUAAAGAUACACAAGAAAAGAAGAGGAAGGAAGUUUAAAAAAUAUUUCGAAAAAGAAACUGUUAAAAGUGGAAAAAAAAUAAAUAAACUUAAAGCUACGCAUAAAAUGUUUGCGCGCACGCGUAAGCUUCUUUCUCUCUUUCGUUUUUAUUUUCAAGCUAACUCAUGGACGAGUUUGCGCAUUGGGGAUGCUUGCAACACGCAUAUAUCUAUUUUCUCGAGGUGGGUGUGCUUUUAGUAAUAAAAACAACUAAGCAAUAUAAGGUCGAUCUAAUUGUAAGUAAAAUACAAAAAAUCGGAGGAAAGAGGAAUAUCUAAACAGUAGAAAAAAAAGACAAAAAUUAAUAAAAAUAAGAAGAAAAAGACAUCAGUAGGGAAAUUAAUUAACAAAAAGAAAAAAAUAAGGCAAAUGAAACUUUGAUGAAACUUUGAUGAAAAAAUUGUGAGCAAUUUCGUAAAA